rnacentral:rRNA from 1 species
UAACACGUGAGUAACCUGCCCCCGAGAGCGGGAUAGCCCUGGGAAACUGGGAUUAAUACCGCAUAGUAUCGAAAGAUUAAAGCAGCAAUGCGCUUGGGGAUGGGCUCGCGGCCUAUUAGUUAGUUGGUGAGGUAACGGCUCACCAAGGCGAUGACGGGUAGCCGGUCUGAGAGGAUGUCCGGCCACACUGGAACUGAGACACGGUCCAGACACCUACGGGUGGCAGCAGUCGAGAAUCAUUCACAAUGGGGGAAACCCUGAUGGUGCGACGCCGCGUGGGGGAAUGAAGGUCUUCGGAUUGUAAACCCCUGUCAUGUGGGAGCAAAUUAAAAAGAUAGUACCACAAGAGGAAGAGACGGCUAACUCUGUGCCAGCAGCCGCGGUAAUACAGAGGUCUCAAGCGUUGUUCGGAAUCACUGGGCGUAAAGCGUGCGUAGGCUGUUUCGUAAGUCGUGUGUGAAAGGCGCGGGCUCAACCCGCGGACGGCACAUGAUACUGCGAGACUAGAGUAAUGGAGGGGGAACCGGAAUUCUCGGUGUAGCAGUGAAAUGCGUAGAUAUCGAGAGGAACACUCGUGGCGAAGGCGGGUUCCUGGACAUUAACUGACGCUGAGGCACGAAGGCCAGGGGAGCGAAAGGGAUUAGAUACCCCUGUAGUCCUGGCAGUAAACGGUGCACGCUUGGUGU